rnacentral:tRNA from 1 species
GGAAUUAGCUCAGUUGGUAGAGCGGCGGCUUCCCAAGCCGCAGGCCACGAGUUCGAACCUCGCAUUCC